rnacentral:rRNA from 1 species
GGGAGGCAGCAGUGGGGAAUUUUAGGCAAUGGGCGAAAGCCUGACCCAGCAACGCCGCGUGAAGGAUGAAAUCCCUCGGGAUGUAAACUUCGCAAGAACGGGAAAAAUAAGUAGGGGACAAUACCCCCUAUGAUGACGGUACCGUUUGUAAGCUCCGGCUAACUCCGUGCCAGCAGCCGCGGUAAUACGGGGGGAGCAAGCGUUGUUCGGAUUUACUGGGCGUAAAGGGCGCGUAGGCGGUCAGCACAAGUCAAUUGUGAAAUCUCCGAGCUUAACUCGGAAAGGUCAACUGAAACUGUGCGACUAGAGUGCGGAAGGGGCAACUGGAAUUCUUGGUGUAGCGGUGAAAUGCGUAGAUAUCAAGAGGAACACCUGCGGCGAAGGCGGGUUGCUGGGCCGACACUGACGCUGAAGCGCGAAAGCCAGGGGAGCGAACGGGAUUAGAUACCCCGGUAGUCCUGGCCUUAAACGAUGAAUGCUUGGUGUCUGGGGUUAUAAAGUCCCCGGGUGCCGUCGCUAACGCUUUAAGCAUUCCGCCUGGGGAGUACGGUCGCAAGACUGAAACUCAAAGGAAUUGACGGGGACCCGCACAAGCGGUGGAGCAUGUGGUUUAAUUCGACGCAACGCGAAGAACCUUACCUGGGCUAGAAUGCCUCUGACAACCCUAGAGAUAGGGCCUCCAAGGUAAAACUUGGCAGAGUGCAAGGUGCUGCAUGGCUGUCGUCAGCUCGUGUCGUGAGAUGUUGGGUUAAGUCCCGCAACGAGCGCAACCCUUAUCUUUAGUUACCAGCAUUAAGUUGGGCACUCUAGAGAGACUGCCGUUGACAAAACGGAGGAAGGUGGGGAUGACGUCAAGUCCUCAUGGCCUUUAUGUCCAGGGCUACACACGUGCUACAAUGGCCGGUACAAACCGCCGCAAACUCGCAAGAGGGAGCCAAUCGGAAAAAGCCGGUCUCAGAUCGGAUUGGAGUCUGCAACUCGACUCCAUGAAG